GUGGUAGCUGUAUAUAGCUUUAAACGCGGAAAAGUUAAAUUUAGUUUAAUUUAACGAAGUGCAAUUGCACUAACAAGCUUUUUUGCCUCACACUGUCUUUUGGAAUUGUACUUUCAAUUGCUGUAUCACGUACUUCCGGGCUUCCACCACCGAGCAUCCGUGCUUCCACCACCGAGCAUCCGUGCUUCUUUCCACCGUGCGUUGUCCUCCCUCUGGUGAGAUGUGGAAGUUUGAAGAAGGGCUGCCAGCGCAGGUGUCAUCCUCAUCAUCUGACCGUGGUUCAAAACUUUCAAAUGUGGAAAGUCAAUCAUCUAACUCUCCGACCCGCCACGAAGGCACACGGAUUUAACCAUAAAACUGAAUGACCGGACCGCUGCAACAGCAACAUUGGCGGGAACUGUGGUUGAAUCCUAAGGGCCGUCACCG